GAGACGCCACAGAACGUGGAUCCAAACUGUUUGUAAAGGCCUUCAAAAAUUCGGUUCCAGCGCUGAAAGACUUAAUAUCAGACAAGAUAGUAAUUGUUCAUUUGCCAUAAAUGCACCAUGUUGUCUACACUGCUGAUAGUGAGUGUGAUUGCCAUUCGCGUGCGCUCGUCAUAUGAAGGCAAGUAACAAGUAACGGACAAACUAGAAGCAGAACAGCUUGCGAGGAAACAAUUGGAGACUCUGCUUGUACAGAAGGAGAAAGUCAUCAAACAGUCAAAAGACAACCUGAGAAAGAGGCAACGGAAGUAGCAUUUUUUGCUGAGGUCUUUCUGAAUAUUUUACAUCAAGGCUUGGGGCAUUUGACCAUGUGGUCACCAACAUCGACUCAACAAACUACGCUGCUGGGUACAGCAAUGUGACCGGUGUGUUUACAGCUCCAAUCGACGGGCUAUAUUCAUUUCCUACAACAGUAACGACACAUGCGGAUCAUGCGUCCCAUUAUGAACUGUACGUUGACAACAAGCUCCUAGGUAGAAUAAUUAUGGGUAGACGGGUCAAAUGGCAACCAAUAUGCCUCUGCCUCUGCAAAUGUUGUCGUAUCCUUAACAAGAGGACAAGCUGUAUCGGUCAGACACGGAAAUAUCGGCGAUCACGGAAUUUAGGGUCAAUUUCAAUCCUUAUUUUCGGGAUUCUUAUUACAGCAGCAUUAUCCAUCGGCUCAAAUUGUAGGUUGAACGUGGUUGAAAGCUGUUAAAUAAAUUGCCUAAACUAAUGAGCAGUAUGUGUUAAAAUGUGUGUGACGUUAACAUGGUAUAUUUUACAUGUAUAUGUAAACACUUUCCAAAAUUAUAAAAAGCACAAAGAA